AUGGUGUCCGGGCUGGGGCUUUGGCUGCUGGCCCUGGCCAUGGGGUCGGCAGGGGUGUGGGCGCAGGUCAGGCUGGAGGAGACCGGCGGAGGGCUGCGAGCGGCGGGGGACUCCGUGCUCCUCUCCUGCCGGGCAACUGCCUUCACCUUCGAGAAUUACGAAAUCCAGUGGUACCGUCAGGCACCCGGAGGCAAACUCGAGUGGGUGUCACACAUCAGCUUUGAAUCUUCAGUCAUUAAAUUUGUUCAAUCCGUGGAGAGUCGAGUAAAUGCCUCCCGGGAUAGUUCAGAGCUUGAAUCAUCUCUGUCCCUGUGUGUCCUGCAGCCUCAGGACUCUGCCCGCUACUUCUGUGCCGUUUACAUGGAGACAAUAAAUCAAGCUGAGCUUUAACAGAGAGUGGCUGGGGCCCCACCAGUGGUGCACAAGCUGUGAGAAGUAGUGUGCUGCAACAUCAGAGGCCUGUUCCAGGGAAACAGGUGCAGGGGAAAGCCAUCUCUGCACAUCAUGGUGGUCCUGGCUUUUCAGCAAGAGCUCCUUUUCCGGCAUUGCCAUUUCUCAUCUGCUGAGUCUCAGAUGCACUGAUUAAUUCUGUGGAGGGCUUCAGAAUAUUCCCUGUCACCCAGCCAGUCUCUGUGCCUUUCCUUCUUCCCUUGGCCCCCUUCUUCUCAGGGGUACCCAAAGACAUUGGCAACUUCGUUGUCUGGCAACAUGAUUGCCCCCUUCAACUGACC